GAUGAACGCUGGCGGCGUGCCUAAUACAUGCAAGUCGAGCGAACAGACGAGGAGCUUGCUCCUUCGACGUUAGCGGCGGACGGGUGAGUAACACGUAGGUAACCUACCUAUAAGACUGGGAUAACUUCGGGAAACCGGAGCUAAUACCGGAUAAUAUUUCGAACCGCAUGGUUCGAUAGUGAAAGAUGGCUUUGCUAUCACUUAUAGAUGGACCUGCGCCGUAUUAGCUAGUUGGUAAGGUAACGGCUUACCAAGGCAACGAUACGUAGCCGACCUGAGAGGGUGAUCGGCCACACUGGAACUGAGACACGGUCCAGACUCCUACAGGAGGCAGCAGUAGGGAAUCUUCCGCAAUGGGCGAAAGCCUGACGGAGCAACGCCGCGUGAGUGAUGAAGGUCUUCGGAUCGUAAAACUCUGUUAUUAGGGAAGAACAAACGUGUAAGUAACUGUGCACGUCUUGACGGUACCUAAUCAGAAAGCCACGGCUAACUACGUG
rnacentral:rRNA from 1 species